AACGGUGUUUGAGUGUGGAUGCUGCAACUACACGGACGUGUAGGCGUUUGAGUCCGAGGGACCACGCACUCCACGGGGGAAUAAGGAUGGAAAUUUGAGAGAGAUCUUUGAGAUGAAGAAGUGGCAACGAGGAGGAUGGAGAAUUGAAAAGCUGGGGAGGAGGGAAAAAUAUUGUGGGUUACUCCCACUUUGGGACACGUGUACUUGUGGGUGAAAUUGACGUGAUUUGCACUGUGCGCGAAAGGGCGAACGGACGACGAUCUACUGCGCAUGAACAGUUGUGCAAAGUGAAUUUCAAGUUCAUUUGAGCAUUUUCAGAUUUAUCCCGAGAUGAUUGGGUGAAUUUGAUGAGAAAAUAUACGAUUGAAGAGUAGAUUUUUGUUUUGUUCAUUUUACCGAAAUCUCACUGCUUCUCGAUGUCGAUAAAUCGAUGGAUGGAUGAUGCAAGACUAUCGGAAACGACUGCACUUUGCGAGAAUGAUAAUAGAUAUAGUGAUCGGUAGAUAGCUGUCCCCAAAAACCAGUAUGAAAUACAUGCAACAAACCCCGACACCUCGCACGAAUGACCACGCACCAGAUAACACGAGGCUAAUCGAUAUCAGCUUAACGAUCCAUUGGGGCCAAUAAUUCAUGCACUCGGUUGAAAAAUAUGGCCAACAGACGAUUGGAGAGAUGUCACCCGUGGGCAACUGCUGCAUAAUCGCCUUAAGAACCCACGCGCACUCGGAUCGAACGAUACAAAUCUGCACCAUCGAUCCUACAAGUUCCCUAAUUGAGAGUUAUGCUAAUGUCCUGGGAGCUUUAAAUAACAUAUUCAAUGGUUGAAAUGUUCGAGUCAUCAUUUUCCGAUUAUUUCACACUUUGAGAAAGAGGGCAACAGAAAUUAGUAGUAACAUGAGUUUAAAAUGUAGGA